CCAGUUACUUCCAAAGGCAAACGACAGUCAUCUUUAUAAAUAUUGUCAAAAAUGCAUUUCUUGUGCACUGUUAUGUUGCUUGUAGCAAUUCUAACAUUAUUCUCAGCGGUAUCUGGGUCUGGAUCUGGGUCUGAGGACUAUUUUACACAGGCGUCCCCGCCUGUAAGACCUACUCAUCCUCCGCCAAAAUCGA